UACGUAGGGUGCAAGCGUUGUUCGGAAUCAUUGGGCGUAAAGCGCGUGUAGGUGGUUAAGUAAGUCGGAUGUGAAAGCCCUCGGCUCAACCGGGGAAGUGCAUCCGAAACUACAUAGCUAGAGGACGGUAGAGGAAGGUGGAAUUCCUAGUGUAGAGGUGAAAUUCGUAGAUAUUAGGAGGAACACCAGUGGCGAAGGCGACACACUGGGCCAUUACUGACGCUGAGGCGCGAAAGCGUGGGGAGCAAACAGG
rnacentral:rRNA from 1 species